GGGGGCCCGCACAAGCGGAGGAACAUGUGGUUUAAUUCGAUGAUACGCGAGGAACCUUACCCGGGAUUGAAAUGUAGAUGACGGAUGGUGAAACCGUCUUCCCUUCGGGGCUUCUAUGUAGGUGCUGCAUGGUUGUCGUCAGCUCGUGCCGUGAGGUGUCGGCUUAAGUGCCAUAACGAGCGCAACCCACAUCGGUAGUUGCUAACAGUUUUCGCUGAGGACUCUACCGAGACUGCCGUCGUAAGGCGCGAGGAAGGUGUGGAUGACGUCAAAUCAGCACGGCCCUUACAUCCGGGGCGACACACGUGUUACAAUGGGAGGGACAAAGGGCAGCUACCGGGCGACCGGAUGCGAAUCUCUAAACCCUUCCCCAGUUCGGAUCGGAGUCUGCAACUCGACUCCGUGAAGCUGGAUUCGCUAGUAAUCGCGCAUCAGCCAUGGCGCGGUGAAUACGUUCCCGGGCCUUGUACACACCGCCCGUCAAGCCAUGGGAGUCGGGGGUACCUGAAGGGCGUAACCGCAAGGGGCGCACUAGGGUAAUACCGGUGACUGGGGGUAAGUCGUAACAAGGUAGCCG
rnacentral:rRNA from 1 species